AUUUGCCUUUUAAUUGGAGGCUAGUAUGAACGGAUAAACGAGAAUAUGGCUGUCUCACUACCAGUAAUGAAAAUUAACCUUCAAGUGAAGAGGCUUGAAUUGUAUAAAAAGACGAAAAGACCCUAUGGAGCUUUACUUACAUAGAGAACGAGGCACAAUAAAAAAACUGCCAAACUCCUAAAUAGUUCAGUUGGGGCGACUGAGGAGCACUAUUAAAGCCCCCUCAACACACAAGAAAAUAAAUCUAUUAAAAAUCCACAAACGUGAAUAAAGAAUCAGCUACCCUAGGGAUAACAGGCUAAUCCUUCUCGAGAGCCCAAAUUGACAGAAGGGGUUGGCACCUCGAUGUG
rnacentral:rRNA from 2 species